rnacentral:rRNA from 1 species
UUCGCUAGUGGGUGGCGGCACUGCACACAAAGGCGACGCUGCUGAGCCGACCGGAGAGUGUGAUCGGCCACAUUGGGAAGCGGACACGAGCCGAACUCAUCCGCGAGGCAGCAGAAGAGAAUCUGGGGCUAUGGACGAAAGUCUGACCGAGCAACGCCGCGUGAGUGAAGAAGGUUUUCGGAUCGUAAAACUCUGUUGUUAGAGAAGAACAAGGAUGAGAGUAACUGUUCAUCCCUUGACGGUAUCUAACCAGAAAGCCACGGCUAACUACGUGCCAUCAGCCGCGGUAAUACGUAGGUGUCCAGCGUUGUCCGGAUUUAUUGGGCGUAAAGCGAGCGCAGGCGGUUUCGUAAGGAUGAUGUGAAAGCCCCCGGCUCAACCGGGGAGGGUCAUUGGAAACGGGGAGACUUGAGUGCAGAAGAGGAGAGUGGAAUUCCAGGUGUAGCGGUGAAAUGCGUAGAUAUAUGGAGGAACACCAGUGGCGAAGGAGGCUCUCUGGUCUGUAACUGACGCUGAGGCUCGAAAGCGUGGGGAGCAAACAGGAUUAGAUGCGCUGGUAGUCCACGCCGU